UCGAUUUGCACAACAGACAGGAUAUCCAGU
rnacentral:piRNA from 1 species